rnacentral:rRNA from 1 species
UACGGAGGGUGCAAGCGUUGUUCGGAUUUAUUGGGCGUAAAGCGCGUGUAGGCGGUCUCUUAAGUCUGAUGUGAAAGCCCUGGGUUCAACCCAGGAAGUGCAUUGGAUACUGGGAGACUUGAAUACGGGAGAGGGUAGUGGAAUUCCUAGUGUAGGAGUGAAAUCCGUAGAUAUUAGGAGGAACACCGGUGGCGAAGGCGGCUACCUGGACCGAUAUUGACGCUGAGACGCGAAAGCGUGGGGAGCAAACAGG